ensembl:lincRNA
GUUUGGAAACAGAACUCCAGGCAUGUGAAUCAUUAGCCCAGCUUCCUGACAGGAAAGGACAGGGUCUAACACUCCAAGAAUCCGUGGCUGUUUGACCUGAGUGCCGGCUACAAAUUAACAAUAAAGUGACUUGGAGCCUUCAGAAGAAUACACUGUUCAGUGGAUCUAAGAUGGUACAGACAAACACCCUGUGUGAGAACAAGUGGACAUCACUAAAGAGUGGCUAUUUCAAAAGCUAAGUUGAACAGAGAGAGAAGCGACAGAGACAGACAGAGACAGCAAAUUCUGAUAUCAUGAGUGAGAGGGGAGGCAUCAGUAUAGAUCCUACAAACACUAGGAUAAUAAUAAGAGAAUAUCAGGUGCAACUUGACACAAUAAAUAGAAGUUAGAAGACAUCGAGGAGUCUCUUAGGGGAAAAAAAACUAAGCUGACUCCGCCUGAGGCUUUGGGACAAAUUUGUAACUGCGUUUCCAAACUAAAGGAAUGAUAUCUACGAUUCACUGUCCCACUUCCUGUGUGCCAUGCAAAUUCUAAGAGUCAUAAAUUCACAAAGUC